CUUGAGCGAGCCCAGGUAGAGCGGACGCCCGGCCGGCCGGCCCUGGCCGUAGGUGGCGAGCAGGGCCUGUGCCUC
rnacentral:antisense_RNA from 1 species